AGAAAUACUUGUUAAAUAUCUUCCAUCAACUGAUAAACAAGUGAACAAAAAGAUUUCCAUUUUAAAGGAUCAUGGCUUUAUAGAAAAUUUGACAUUUGGAUGGGAUGGACCAUCUUGGAGGUUACUUACAGCUCUUAAAUUGUUAUGUCUGGAAGCCGGAAAAUUUACUUGCUGGAAAAAAGUACUUCUUGGGGAAAUAAUUUCAGAUACAAAUGAGAAGACAAGUUUGGACAUAGCCCAGAAAAUAUGCUAUUAUUUCAUAGAGGAGACUAA